GUCAGAGUGGCAAGCACCCUAAACCAUUGUGACGCUACCUAAACCGUUGCUUCGGCGGGCGGCCCCGGGGUUCUCCCCGGGCGCCCCUGGGCCCCAUCGCGGGCGCCCGCCGGAGGUCACCAAACUCUUGAUAAUUUAUGGCCUCUCUGAGUCUUCUGUACUGAAUAAGUCAAAACUUUCAACAACGGAUCUCUUGGUUCUGGCAUCGAUGAAGAACGCAGCGAAAUGCGAUAAGUAAUGUGAAUUGCAGAAUUCAGUGAAUCAUCGAAUCUUUGAACGCACAUUGCGCCCGCCAGUAUUCUGGCGGGCAUGCCUGUUCGAGCGUCAUUUCAACCAUCAAGCCCCCGGCUUGUGUUGGGGACCUGCGGCUGCCGCAGGCCCCGAAAAGCAGUGGCGGGCUCGCUGUCACACCGAGCGUAGUAGCAUACAUCUCGCUCUGGGCGUGCUGCGGGUUCCGGCCGUUAAACCACCUUCAUAACCCAAGGUUGACCUCGGAUCAGGUAGGAAGACCCGCUGAACUUAAGCAUAUCAAUAAGCGAGAGGGAAAA
rnacentral:rRNA from 1 species